GACGAACGCUGGCGGCGUGCUUAACACAUGCAAGUCGAACGGUAAGGCCCUUCGGGGUACACGAGUGGCGAACGGGUGAGUAACACGUGGGUGGAUCUGCCCUGCACUUCGGGAUAAGCCUGGGAAACUGGGUCUAAUACCGGAUAGGACCAUGGACUUCACGGUUUGUGGUGGAAAGCUUUUGCGGUGUGGGAUGGGCCCGCGGCCUAUCAGCUUGUUGGUGGGGUAAUGGCCUACCAAGGCGACGACGGGUAGCCGGCCUGAGAGGGUGUCCGGCCACACUGGGACUGAGAUACGGCCCAGACUCCUACGGGAGGCAGCAGUGGGGAAUAUUGCACAAUGGGCGCAAGCCUGAUGCAGCGACGCCGCGUGAGGGAUGACGGCCUUCGGGUUUGGUAAACCGUACCUUUCUUAACUAAGGUACGG
rnacentral:rRNA from 1 species